rnacentral:rRNA from 1 species
AUAUCAAUAAGCGGAGGAAAAGAAACCAACAGGGAUUGCCUCAGUAACGGCGAGUGAAGCGGCAAAAGCUCAAAUUUGAAAUCUGGCUUCUUUGGAGCCCGAGUUGUAAUUUGUAGAGGACGUUUCGGGUACCGCAACGGCUUAAAUUUCUUGGAACAGAAUGUCAGAGAGGGUGAGAAUCCCGUCUGGAGUCGCGGUAGGGCCCAUGUGAAACUCCCUCGACGAGUCGAGUUGUUUGGGAAUGCAGCUCAAAAUGGGUGGUAAAUUUCAUCUAAAGCUAAAUAUUGGCCAGAGACCGAUAGCGCACAAGUAGAGUGAUCGAAAGAUGAAAAGCACUUUGAAAAGAGAGUUAAACAGUAUGUGAAAUUGUUGAAAGGGAAGCGCUGGCAACCAGACUCGUGUGCGGCGGUUCCCCCUCGCUUCUGCGUGGGUUACUCCGUCGUAUCCGGGCCAACAUCGGUUUGGGCGGCCGGUUAAAGGCCCCGGGAAUGUAUCUUCCUCCGGGAAGACUUAUAGCCCGGGGUGUCAUGCGGCCUGCCGGGACCGAGGAACGCGCUUCGUGCUCGGAUGUUGGCGUAAUGGUUGUCAGCGA